rnacentral:sRNA from 1 species
UACCGUUCUACUGCUCUCUUUUUCCUGC